UCAGUGUGCGGGUGGCUUUAAAUACUCAUUGAAUUAAAGUCGUUGAAUAUAAAUGUUAUGAUUAACUGAAGCUUUUGGUCGAGUCCUGAAUUAUACAGCUUUGAAACAAGAACAGGAGAGGACAAGGUGGCUGAGGAGGAUGGGACACCCUUAGUGGACUUUGGGUCAAGUCAAUCAGAAUGCAUCAAGAUCCAAGCUUUGCACCUGACCCAGCAACUCUUUGGCCAACUGUGGUGGAAGAACAGCCCACAAGUCGCUACGGAGACCACACAGAAAGUAAAACCACAUCUGCACCGAGAAGGAACAGCGCUCACCCUGUGGAAGAAAAAGGAAGAGAGG